UAGCCGUAAACGAUACUCGCUAGGUGUCGGCCACGGUGCGACCGUUGUCGGUGCCGUAGGGAAGCCGUGAAGCGAGCCACCUGGGAAGUACGGCCGCAAGGCUGAAGCUUAAAGGAAUUGGCGGGGGAGCACAACAACGGGUGGAGCUUGCGGUUUAAUUUGGAUUCAACGCCGGAAAUCUUACCGGGACCGACAGCAACAUGAAGGCCAAGCUGAAGACUUUGCCGGAUUAGCUGAGAGGAGGUGCAUGGCGUAGUCGUGU
rnacentral:rRNA from 1 species